rnacentral:rRNA from 1 species
AUUGAACGCUGGCGGCAUGCCUUACACAUGCAAGUCGAACGGCAGCACGGGAGCUUGCUCCUGGUGGCGAGUGGCGAACGGGUGAGUAAUACAUCGGAACGUACCCUGAAGUGGGGGAUAACGUAGCGAAAGUUACGCUAAUACCGCAUAUUCUGUGAGCAGGAAAGAGGGGGAUCGCAAGACCUCUUGCUUUAGGAGCGGCCGAUGUCGGAUUAGCUAGUUGGUGAGGUAAAGGCUCACCAAGGCGACGAUCCGUAGCGGGUCUGAGAGGAUGAUCCGCCACACUGGGACUGAGACACGGCCCAGACUCCUACGGGAGGCAGCAGUGGGGAAUUUUGGACAAUGGGCGCAAGCCUGAUCCAGCCAUGCCGCGUGAGUGAAGAAGGCCUCGGUGUAAGCUCUUCGGUUGGGGUAAGGAAAGUUAG